rnacentral:lncRNA from 1 species
AUUUCUAGCAGUGAUUUUAUUUCUUCUAUAACUCAGGUUUUUAAAACAAUCUUACAUGCUAUAUUGUGUUGACAAAUAUGUUUAUCCAAUAAUUCUCUUAAAUGUCUGCUUGUAUUUAGAUCUGGUAAUUGCCAACGUGAAUGUAGUUAUUUUAGUACAAGAUACAGUAACUAUUGCCUUAGGACAGGGGUCGGCAACCUGCGGCUUGCGAGCCGCAUGCAGCUCAGUAGAAUCGUACUUGUGGCUCUUGAGUAGUUUAACAGUACAUAUUGAAAAAUUAACUGCAAUAUUAAAAUUGCC